GCAGCGUGCCGGCCGCUGGGAUGCUGCGGCGCCGCCGCCGCCGCCACUGCCGGCCUCUCCGCUGCCGCGAGCGGGGAUCGGAGGGGCCGGGCGUGCGGGCGGGGGUCGGGGAUGACUUGGGAGCGGCGCUACCUGGGGACUGUGGUAAGGGUGGUCUUCCCAUCAGAGUUGCGCUAGAGGACGGAAAGUUUUUGCCUGCUCCCUUCCAGCGCGUCCCUCCCUCGCCAGUCCCGGUCGCCCACGGUGAGGCGCCCCCGCGGGGAUCUCCCUGCUUAGUUGGGGAGGAGCCGAGCAGCCCACCUCCUCCGAUGACCACCCCAAACCAGGGAGGGGACCCUGGUGACCUCUCCUCCCAGCCACCACUCCCUACACCCUUUCUUCUCUUUCACGGUGGACCUUGGGCUGUAGAGGAUUCUGCGGAUGCCUUUGGGAGCUGAAACCAAUGGGUAGAUGGAAGUGGUUCUAAAAAGCAGAGAAUGAACACCUAGCCCUCAUCAACUACUUUGCCAUCGUGGGCUUCUUCCAUCACGCCAACACCUGGCGAGGGUGUGGUGGGGCUGUGGGACCCGUCAUUGCUACGAGAGAAACCCAAGUCUUUUCACUUUCAACAUAUGAAGGGCAAAUUAUGUUAUUGGAUGAAUUGUGUUUGUAGAAUCAAGGGAAACAUAAGCUCUUUAUCUUAUGGAAGUAGUUCUCAUGCGAUAAUCAAGUAAUGUGCUCAUGUCUUAUUCUCUGAAUCCUUUACAGACCAUUGCUUUCCUAUUUUAAUGGAAAGGUUGAUCAGCACUGACAACCAUGCUGGAUAGCUUUUAUUACUCCCAGGUUAUAGAUGAUGAAAUUGAGGUGCAGAGAGGAUGUAAAAUAAAGCACGCCUCCCUCUCACUGAGGUUACCCCUGGCCAGGCUGCUGCAUUGGUUGUGCACUGCACAGUUGGGCCACUUUUAAGGGACUACCAUUCACAUCGCAGACAUCGUAGAUUUAUUGUAACAAUUUUCCUGGCAGAUGGCACAAAAGUGCCUUGUUAUAACAAAAUCAGGAAUAUGAAGACUAUCUUCUAACAGGUGGAAAUAAAGUUUCUUGAAGAAGCUGCGCCUUUUCCAAAAGCUCACUAAGGUGUUAGAUGAACUAGCAGAAGGAAGGGGGUUAUUGGUCUCUCUCUGUCUAUGUUAACAGCUCAACUGGGAGUUUUACUUUUUGCUUGAACAGGGGUCACCAUCCCUUGCUGACCAUGUGUGUAAUUGUAAAGUACUGUAGAAUGAUGUGGGUUACAAUGAAUGCAUUUGAGGUGGCAGAUUUCCCAAGAAGACUCCUGUGUAUGAGAAACACAGUGCUUUGGAUGGUAGAAAUGAAACGAUCUUGGUAACUCAGUUUGGUUGUUCACCCUUCAGCUACAGCUUAAGUCAUCCUAAACUUGGCUUGGAGGAAGAGACAUUGACACGUCUAUCAGUUUAACAAAUUUGGCAGCAGGAGGUCCAAAGAGUAUCGUCUCAAUUAUGGAUUGACCCACGAUUGAUUAGCAACCCUGUGCUGCCUAGUUUGUGAUCAAUGCCAAGUGAUGGCAGGUGCUGGACUCUUAGGGAGUGAGGGCAGAUGUUGGAGCAUUGAUCCCCAGGUGAGCUUCCUUGUUGGCCCUGUACAGGGAGAGUCAAAGUACAAGUAAAAUAUUGUAAGAUAGGAGUGAUAGUGUUGCAUGUGUUGACAGAGCCUGUCCGAGCUUUCAUCCUUUGCUCCCAAGGGACCAUCUUGAACAUGCAGACACUACUCUAUGACAGAACUAUUCUGUUCUGUCUUUGUUCUGAAUCUUCAUUGUGCCAUUUCACGGUGUUUUAAGGGGGGAAAGACAUCACCGGUUGCCUCACUUGAGAAGACUUUCAUUUUUUUACCUAUGCAAAUACCUUGGCAUUCAGAAACUUUGGCUAAUUGAAUAAUUGUCUCUUAUAAUGCUUUGCAAACACCCAAGGUGGGGUGAGAGGCGGAGUAUCUAAAGGAAUUACAACCCUCAUUUUAUGAUUAGAAUAAGAGAGGUUGAUGGACUGAUCCUGCCUGGCUAUGUGCCAGGUGAGUUGCUGUGUCCACAAGGCGCAUACAGUCUUGCUUCAGGGUGAUGCAUAAGCCAUCAAUCACUGGAAAACAGACUAGCCUGUGAGGAGGUGCUGAUCUGAUUUGCAGAUAAUAGAUGCUGUAGGUGUCUGAGCAGGACAGGUUACUGUGGUGGGCAGCGAAGGUGAAGGCAUGGGAGAGAGGAGGAAUUUGAACUGGGCCGCAAAAGACUGGAAGAUAUAAAUAGCCAGUGGGCAGAAGAGUGAUGGAUGGGAACAGUGACCAUCUUAAGUAAAGCACCUCAGGUCACGUAGUUGGUUUCCUCAAACAAAGCUCUUAGUGGAAAACAGGCAAGACACGUGGGGAUUUGGAAUCAGAAAGGGUUUCAAACUGCAACAUGAUGCUUCCAAGAUGAAAAUCUAUAGGGUGAGAUAAGAUGGGUAAUAAUACUGUGUGUUCUUAAUCAAAUGGCAUAUUUCUUUGAGAAAUACUAUUUAAUCAAGAACAAAUUUCUAAAAUUAGGACUCUAUGGAUCUGAAUGAGCUAAUUAGGUGAGAAACUUGAAAUUUUCCAGGCUCUUCAGCCAUCUGGCCGGCAUGUUGAGAAAUUGUACCCAGUUGUACUGAUAAGAGGGCAGUCUCUGUGUUUGUGGUUCACCUCUAACAUUCUAAUAGUGGGUCAUCUUCAAAGACAAGUUCAACAGACCUUCCAUUCUAAGUAGGCUGAUGAAAAGGCUGAGCUUGCCUAGGGAGUCCUGGGUUAUGCAAAGUUAUUAGUAGCUUCCCCUUUCAGUCUCUAAAGUGUCUUGUUUUGAUGAUAAAUUGUAUGGCCACCCUAAUUCUAAGUGAUCCAGUUUGGACUUUUUUUGCUUACUUUGGGAAUCCUCAUGGCCAAAAGGAUGCUUCCAGCUUAAGGGUAUUUGCCAAGAAGUGCAUUCUAUAUUUUUGAAAUGGUUGGGUUUUUUUUUCCCCUUGCAUAUAAAGCAAUCUUUGCAAAAAAUUCAGAUAUAAUAAGAUGAAUAUCAUAUAAAUAAGAUGAAUAUCAUAAACCCACAAAUAAGUGUUAAUAUUUUGAUAAAGAUGCAUAUCUCUAUCUAUUGAUCUGUCAUAUUUACAUAUUUCAGCUUGCCAAUCUCCAAACCAAGCCACUUGGAGGAGCAUUCCAUAUAUACGUAUCUAGAUAUGGCUA